AUUGAACGCUGGCGGCAGGCUUAACACAUGCAAGUCGAACGAGUGGCGGACGGGUGAGUAAUGCUUGGGAAUCUGGCUUAUGGAGGGGGAUAACGACGGGAAACUGUCGCUAAUACCGCGUACCAUAGGAUGAGCCCAAGUGGGAUUAGGUGGUUGGUGGGGUAAUGGCCUACCAAGCCGACGAUCACUAGCUGGUCUGAGAGGAUGACCCGCCACACCGGGACUGAGAAACGGCCCGGACUCCUACGGUAGGCAGCAGUGGGGAAUAUUGCGCAAUGGGGGCAACCUGACCCAGCCAUGCCGCGUGACUGAAGAAGGCCUUCGGGUUGUAAAGUUCUUUUGGUGGGGAGGCGUUACUCACAGAAGAAGCACCGGCUAACUCCGUGCCAGCCGCCGCGGUAAUUC
rnacentral:rRNA from 1 species